rnacentral:rRNA from 1 species
UACAGAGGGUGCAAGCGUUGUUCGGAAUUAUUGGGCGUAAAGCGCGUGUAGGCGGUUUUUUAAGUCUGAUGUGAAAUCCCUUGGCUCAACCAAGGACGUGCAUUGGAUACUGAAUAACUAGAGGACGAGAGAGGUGAAUGGAAUUCCCGGUGUAGGAGUGAAAUCCGUAGAUAUCGGGAGGAACACCAGAGGCGAAGGCGGUUCACUGGCUCGUUACUGACGCUGAGACGCGAAAGCGUGGGGAGCAAACAGG